CUCAUUUUUUAAUGGCUCUCAAAUUAGCUCACUAUAACAGAAUUAAAUUAUAUAGACAUAUCUUUGAGACACUAUUGUAUAAGUGUUCUAUUUAUACCAAAACUUUUAAAAAAAUCUAUUAAGGCCUAAAUAUAAAGUUUAAUCCAAUCAAAAAUAAAAAAAUUCUUUACUCAACCAACCCCACCCAGUCUAUUUGGUUCGAUUACAAAUAGAUAAGGAAAAAAAAAUUUGAUCAGUUCGACCGCGAGAAUCUCACAGAGAUCGUAGAGGGCUACAAUUACCAUAUGUCCCUCUGCCACAAAUCGAUGGAAGAGUGGGUGCCAAAUAUGAGAUGACCUCACAUAUAGCGACCCCACAUAUAAGAAUGCUUUAAAAAAUUAUCGGUAAUUUAGCCAACAACAUUUUUUUAAUUUAUACCGAUAUUUAAAAUUGUUGUUAUAUAUCGUUUUUGUUGUAGUAACUAAGUUUGAAAUUUGAUUCAAUUAAAAUUUUUUUCAUAAUUA
rnacentral:lncRNA from 1 species